AACCUUUCAGAGUUGCCUGGAGGUUGCUACAGAUUAAUUCUCACUCUCUCUGUCUAGGUUUCUCUUCAGGUUUUGUUCCAAGGAAACCUCAGAGUGUUUUUGCUUCUCUUCCUUUUUCUGUCUGUUGUCCCUCUUUUUUAUAACCUGAUUUUCAUGGCUUUGUGGGCUCAAAUGAGAGAGGUCCAAGUCUGAGGUUUUUUAUUUUAUUUAUUUAUUUAUUUAUUUAUUAAUUUUCCGUUUUCUGUUUUUUUUUUCGUUUCUUUUUUCGUUUUUCGUUUUUUUUUCGAAACGCGUGGGCUUCGCCUAGCGAGCAUGACAGUUCAUGAACAAACUUUUGCUCCUUCAAGAUUAACGUUUUGACUGACGAAUAGACCUCUAUUGGAAGUAAC
rnacentral:lncRNA from 1 species